UAAAAUCUAGUGAUUCAAUAAAUCAACAGCAGAAUGAAUAAAAAAUAUGGGACCAAGAGAAAAAGAUCCAUAGCAGGGUUCCAUUUCCCCCUAACUUCCAUCUGCCUCCACCUAUCCAUCAAGUUAUCUACAUCGAUUCAAAUUUUUCUUCUUCAAUCCAUUAUGUGCAACAUCAGAUAUGCAGAAAACCCAAAUCUAAUAAAGAAACACUAUCAGUCAACCAAAAUCUUGGAUUAUAGCAUACAACUAGAACUCAUAAGAAUUAUCAUCUUCAAGGUCAAGAAUCACCUUCCAUGCACACAUCUUAGAGAUUCACACGUAAUAGUGCUAGUUGCUCGUCAGAACACUAAUAUUGACACAUGUUCUCAACACAGCAG
rnacentral:lncRNA from 1 species